rnacentral:rRNA from 1 species
AUGAAGGUCCCUGACAAGUUCUUACAUGUAAAGAACAGAAGCUUCGAUGAGUGCACCGCCGAGUGCGGCAACAACUGCUCAUGUACGGCAUAUGCUUAUGCCAACAUGAAAGGUGCCGGUGAUGAGGCUGACCCGACAAGGUGCUUGGUUUGGAUAGGAGAGCUUAUCGAUACAUCAAAGUACAUUGAGGUUGGCGAGAAUCUAUACCUUCGCGUUGCUGAGUCUCCUGGCGACAAAAAGAGCAGUUUACUAAAGAUUUUACUCCCGGUUAUAGCAUUCAUGUUGCUACUGACAUGCAUAGCCCUCAUUUGGACAUACAAAUACAGAGGAAAAUGGAGAGAGCAGGAAAACCAGAAGAAACUAAUGCAAAGAUACUUUAGCACAUCCGAUGAACUCAAAGGCGAAAAUACAGAAUUUCCAUUUGUUAGCUAUGAAGACAUCCUUUCAGCAACAAUGCUUUUCGCCGAUUCCAACUUGCUUGGACAGGGAGGUUUUGGAAAAGUUUACAAGGGCAUCCUAGAAGGUGGAUAUGAGGUUGCGGUCAAAAGACUUAGUAAGGGUUCUGGACAAGGUAUAGUUGAGUUCAAAAAUGAAAUAGUUCUAAUUGCCAAGUUGCAGCACAAGAACCUAGUCAGACUUCUUGGGUGUUGCAUUCAGGAAGAUGAGAAAUUAUUGAUCUAUGAGUACUUGCCUAACAAAAGUUUGGAUGCCUUUAUUUUUGAUGAUGCACGAAAACACAUGCUCCAUUGGUCGACCCGGUUCAAAAUAAUUAAAGGAAUAGCAAGAGGCCUUCUUUAUCUCCAUCAAGAUUCAAGAUUAACAAUAAUUCACAGAGAUCUCAAAGCUAGUAACAUAUUGCUGGAUGCGGAAAUGACUCCCAAAAUUUCAGAUUUUGGUAUGGCAAGAAUCUUUGGUGCAAACCAGAAUCAUGCAAACACUACAAGGGUCGUUGGAACAUAUGGUUACAUGUCGCCUGAAUAUGCGAUGGGAGGUGCCUUUUCUGUUAAAACGGACACAUAUAGCUUCGGUGUUCUUUUGUUGGAGAUUGUUAGUGGAUUGAAGAUCAGCUCACCUCAGCUCAAAACAAACUUUUGUAGCCUUAUAACUUAUGCAUGGAGAAUAUGGGAAGAUGGAGAAGCAACUGAAUUAGUGGACUCUUCAAUUGUUGUGGAUUGUCCUUUUCAUGAAGUUGUACGGUGUAUUCAUGUGGGGCUCUUGUGUGUUCAAGAUCAUCCCAACAAUAGGCCACUGAUUUCAUCUGUUAUGCGUAUGUUAGAGAAUGAAAACACAUCACUUCCAACUCCAAAGAAACCUGUAUAUUUUCCUCUAAGUAAUUGUGAAGGUGGAGAAGCAAGGGAGAACAUACAAAAUACCAUAAACGCAAUGAGCAUCACAACACUAGAGGGUCGUUAG